rnacentral:rRNA from 1 species
ACAGCAGCCGCCGCGGGAAUACAGAGGGUGCGAGCGUUAAUCGGAUUUACUGGGCGUAAAGCGUGCGUAGGCGGCUUCUUAAGUCGGAUGUGAAAUCCCUGAGCUUAACUUAGGAAUUGCAUUCGAUACUGGGAAGCUAGAGUAUGGGAGAGGAUGGUAGAAUUCCAGGUGUAGCGGUGAAAUGCGUAGAGAUCUGGAGGAAUACCGAUGGCGAAGGCAGCCAUCUGGCCUAAUUCUGACGCUGAGGUACGAAAGCAUGGGGAGCAAACAGGAUUAGAUACCCGUGUAGUCCCUGUCUCUUAUAC